AAGCAAGAGCGACGCAAGAUGGCAGCCACCACGGGCUCGGACAAUUUAUGAAAACCGAAUAUACAGCCUUAAAAUAGAAUGUGGACCUAAAUACCCAGAAGCACCCCCCUUUGUAAGAUUUGUAACAAAAAUUAAUAUGAAUGGAGUAAAUAGUUCUAAUGGAGUGGUAAGUUGUUUUCUCUGUCCCACUUGUUCCUUGGAGUUGACAGUUGCUUUGUACUUAACAUCAGGAGCUUUUAGACUGGGCCCAAUUCCUAGGUUCUUUGGUUAUUUGUUGAUAAACUGUAUCACUGUGCAUAGGAGCACAGAUUUGGGAUGGGGCCUGUUUCCCAAUUAUAUCUGGCGAUCACUCAUAUAGCACUUACCCUGGGCUAGUUCUGUGCUGGUCGCUUUGAAAUAUGAGCUCUUUCCUCAUGCCACCCCAGUGAGGUAGAGAUGAGGAAACUGAGGCACAGACGUGGAAGAUCUUUCCCAGGGCUACACCUUUACCCCCCUGGGCCUUAUUUGUGAACCACUGGCAUGUAAUAUUUUUUUCCUUUAAUGGCCUUGCUUUUUUAUUUUUA
rnacentral:lncRNA from 1 species